UACGUAGGUGGCAAGCGUUGUCCGGAUUUACUGGGCGUAAAGGGCGUGUAGGUGGUUUUGUAAGUCUGGCGUGAAAUUUUUCGGCUUAACCGGGAAAGGUCGUCGGAUACUGCAGGACUAGAGGACGGUAGAGGGUAGUGGAAUUCCCGGUGUAGCGGUGAAAUGCGUAGAGAUCGGGAGGAACACCAGUGGCGAAGGCGGGACUCUGGGCCGAUACUGACGCUGACGGAGCGAAAGCGUGGGGAGCGAACAGG
rnacentral:rRNA from 1 species